GAAGGUGGCUAGCGUUGUUCGGUGUCACUGGGCUUAAAGCGUGUGUAGGCGGAAAGGUAAGCGCCUUGUGAAAGCCCCCGGCUUAACCGGGGAAUUGCUUGGCGAACUGCUUUUCUUGAGGCAAGUAGGGGUGCAUGGAACUCUUGGUGGAGCGGUGGAAUGCGUAGAUAUCAAGAGGAACGCCAAUGGAGAAAUCAGUGCACUGGGCUUGUCCUGACGCUGAGACACGAAAGCGUGGGGAGCGAACGGGGGAUUAGAUACCCCGGUAGUCCACGCCGUAAACGAUGUCUACUAGGUUGCGGGAGUUCUGACGCUGUCGCGACCGAAGCAAAAGUGUUAAGUAGACCGCCUGGGGAGUACGGCCGCAAGGCUA
rnacentral:rRNA from 1 species